rnacentral:rRNA from 1 species
AGUGAACGCUGGCGGUAGGCCUAACACAUGCAAGUCGAACGGCAGCACAGGAGAGCUUGCUCUCUGGGUGGCGAGUGGCGGACGGGUGAGGAAUACAUCGGAAUCUGCCCAGUCGUGGGGGAUAACGCAGGGAAACUUACGCUAAUACCGCAUACGACCUUCGGGUGAAAGAGGGGGAUCGCAAGACCUCUCGCGAUUGGAUGAGCCGUUGUCGGAUUAGCUAGUUGGCGGGGUAAUGGCCCACCAAGGCGACGAUCCGUAGCUGGUCUGAGAGGAUGAUCGGCCACACUGGAACUGAGACACGGUCCAGACUCCUACGGGAGGCAGCAGUGGGGAAUAUUGGACAAAGGGCGCAAGCCUGAUCCAGCCAUACCGCGUGAGUGAAGAAGGCCUUCGGGUUGUAAAGCCCUUUUGUUGGGAAAGAAAUCUUUCAGGCUAAUACCCUGGGAGGAUGACGGUACCCAAAGAAUAAGCACCGGCUAACUUCGUG